CACAUGAAAGACAAGAAGUGCCCUUUAAAGGACAGGACAGCACUGAGCAAAUCGCCCAGACCUCCACCAGCAGGCAGAUUUCCAACCCCAGCUGCCAUCGUGGUGUGAGGAGGGCUCCACAGAGGUUGGUUCUUCACAGUAAGUGUCCUUGGCACUCAGGGUGCAGGAUAGGAAGAGACCAACUUCACCAGGAGGCUUUGGAGCAAGCGCCCUGGGCCUUGAUGCGCCUGAAAGCUUGUGUGGAGAAAAAGAUCCUCCCACUCCCGGCUCCCCUUUCCUAAAAAUCCGAGACAAAGCUCAAUGGUCUUGUCCGGUGUCCACCCCCACUCCCCCCAGUGUUCGUCUCCCAGGAAAGCGCCCCACACUGGGCGUCCCGGGAGAAAGGACCUAGAAUAGUCAAAACCACAGAGAAGGAUCUGACUGUGUGGCUCUGGAUGCUGCCUUGCCCUCCCGAGUGCUGGAAUGGCAGUGCUUUGAUACCAUGCCCAGCUACCAGUUCUUGUGAUUCUUAUGAUACCUCAUCAGGGUGGAGUUUGGUAGCUUUGGAAGCCUGUUCCAAGAGAGAAAACCAGCCCGUAUGCUUAUAGACUUAAACAGGAGCCUAGCAAAACUCUCUCCUGAGAUGCUUCAUCCAAGCAGCAAAUAGAAACAGAUGCAGAGACCCACAGACAAACAUCAGGUGGAGCUCAGGUAUUCUUGUGGAAGAGGAGGAGGGAACUUGUAGAACUGAACAAGCCAUAGGGGUCAAGGACACCUACAUUGUCAACUAACCUGAGACCAUAGGGUUUCACAGAGACUGACCCACCACCAAAGAGCAUCAUCAGGGCUGGACAUAGGCCUCCCCACAUUUGUCUUCAUGUGGGUCCCCUAAACAGAAGGCUGUCUCUGACUGUGUUGCCUGCCAUUGGAUCCCCUUCCCUAACUGGACUGCCUGGUUAGGCCUCGGUGGGAUGACCUAUUCUGAAAGCCCAUAGUGGUUUCUCUGGCGUCCACAGACUUAAAUGGGACAGACGGAAGCAGCUACAACAGCUGUCCGCCAUUACAGCAACUAUCGUGAUCAUUAAAGCCUCUUCUUUCAUUGUACUUCAGUUGUGGGUAAAAUUCAAGGGAGCUUAGCAGGAGGACCCCAGAUUAAGGGUUUCCCAACCCCCGCCCGUCCGUCGUGAUGUCUGUG